UUAUAAUCAUUAAUUUCUUUAUUUUCAUCAAUAUAUACAAAAAUACAAAAAAAAAAAAAAAAAAAUGGCACACCAAAUAAAUGUAUGUUUGUAAGUUUGGUUUAGUCAGCGUCAAUCUGCACCGUUCUCUUUGAAGGCUGCGUUGAUGGAAGGGGUUACUGCACCAAUGUCACUGCUCGACGCUCUGCGCUCAAAACUUGUCAGGCUUGACUUUCCUUGUUGACGCAAUACACGGAGGGGAUGUGCCGCAACACUGCAGCUAAAGCAGGGAGGAUGUAGGCACUUGCACAGCCAUACCAGUGACAUGUAAUGGCUGCACCGCUUGUUUGGGUGGAACAAAAGCAGGGGGUUGUGGGCACUUGCACAGCCAUACCAGUGACAUGUAAUGGCUGCACCGCUUGUUUGGGUGGCUCAUGAACAACAACAUAAUGAAGUUAAACAAACGCAAAUUUUUGUGAGAGGAGGAGCAAAGGGAUUUACGUUGUAGCACUGUUUGAGUGACCACUAUGUGUAUUAAGUACAGAAGUGACUUGUUAUACUAGAAGCACCGCAGGAUAGCAGAGCUGUGUUAAAAAGAUACUUAGUGUUGACAAACUUGUCUUGCAGGAAAGAUAAGGAACGGUGCAAACGAAAGCAGAAGCUAGACUAGAGGAAUAAUGGCAGAGGUGAGGCAGCAAGAUGGUGAGGAAGACAGCAGAGGAGAAUAUGACUGGGGCAGGAGGUGGUCAGUUAAAGCAGGCACAGGGCCAGUGUAGUGAAGGCCUCUGCUUUCACCAACACUGUCAGCUAAGGCCACAGAGAUCACUGGUCGGGUUUUUUAGUGUUUCUCCUGUCAGUAAUGUAAAAAAAAAAUUUUAAUCUGUCACUAGAAGCGUCAAAACCUCCUUAGUAGCCUGUCUCACUUGAAGCAGAGCCUUGUGGGUGUAGUGGUGGUGCGGUGCAGAAAGGCUGCACAACACUAGUUUGUGUAGAGGCGAGAGGCGAUGGAACGCUUCAUUGUGGAGUGCUGUAGAUGUGAGCGACACAGAGGCACACUUUUAGAGAGGCAAUCGUGGGAGCCACAGGUGAACCAGCGUGGUGGUGGCAGACCACACCAGACAAGGGAGGAGGUGCCUACACACAGAGGCAUGCUGGCAGUGCUGCCAGUGUGUCGUGGCAAGGAAGAAACAGAAUGGAUCCUAAAAGAGAUGAAAAAGUCCCUUGUGCACGCCUGGGAAGUACGCCUGAGGGUGUUUAGGUGUUAAAUUAGAAGAGACAUGUUGACUCUGUGCUCUCUAGCGGCUGACCUGCGGAAGACGUCACGAGAACAACAAGAUCAAGAUUAAGAACAUCGUCAUUGUUGCCUUGUUUACCUUUAUCACAGUGGUCCUCCUCCUGCUGUCCGUGUGUCUGUGUGUCUGUGUGUGUGUGUGUCUUUUGAAGGCACCUCUCAGGCCGCUGCUGUCUCCUCUGCCUGGUGAGUGGGGGCUCUCUCUCUCUCUCUCUCUCUCUCUCUCUCUCUCUCUCUCUCUCUCUCUCUCCUUCCUUGGGCUCUUUUCCCAUAUCUCCUUCUCCUCCUCUUCUUGUUUGUUUCGUCAGUCUUUCCUUGCCAUCCAACUCUCUCUCUUGUAUCCUCCCCACAGUAGCAGAAUAGGAGAGCAUCUAGCUCUCGUUCCCACAGUCAGCUACAGCCCACCCUUGAGAGGAGUUGGACAUAUGGUCAGGAGGCAGACACAUGGAAGAGACUGGGUGGCGGGGAAGUGAAAUGUGUGGGACUGAAUGAAUGGAAGAAUGAGAUAGAAAGAAAGAAGACCUUGGAAUGGUACAAGGAGAAAGAGGCUCCGAGGUAUGAAAGGUGGUAUGAUGGAAGCCUGGGCGGUGAUCUUCUCUUCCGAGCGAGGGCACAGUGUAUGGAUGUGAAUGCAAGGAGUUACAGGUGGUCUGAGUCCCGCAGCAAAGUGUGCCAGAUGUGUGACAUGGGAGAGGAUGAGACGGUGGAACAUGUGGUGCUGGAGUGUGUGAAGUAUGCUAGAGACAGGAAUGAGAUGAUGCAAGUGAUACUGACUGAGUUAGGGCAUGAUAGGAAUGAAAGAGUGGAGAAGACAGGAAAGGAAUGGAUGGUGUUGUUACUGGGACUGUGUAGAGAGGCGAAUGAAAGGAUGAUUGAGGCGGUGAAAGAGUUUCUGGAGAGAAUGUGCGUGCCAGAUGUAGGAACAAUUAGGAUAGAGGAUGCUGUUCGUUUCUCUCUUUUUUUUUUUUUUCCUUCUACAAGAGUUGCCGAUCCAAAGGCCUGGCUCAGGAGUGAUCCUGUGCCACCUGUACCGUCAAGAUCAAGAUCAACAUAACCCCGUGUGUCUCAGAGGUGGCGGUGGUCCAUGCUGCUGCUGCUGUCUCUGCUGUCAGGGUAGUCGGCGCCCUUCGCGGUGGUGUGGGCGGCGGCGAAGUGGGCGACACAAGAUGGCGGUGUGGCGCCGGGGCAGGAGAGAGCAUCCCACAGAUAAAGGAGGGCAUUUCUGGCCCAGAUGACCCCGGGAUAGUCGACUACUGGACCUAAUUACUGACUCCAGGAUGCAUGUCCUCUAUGGCGGCACCAAAAUAGUCCAGCACACUCUGCCUAUCAAGACUACUUCUGGCCUGAGAGAAGAGACAACUAGUGGGCCGUGUUUGGUGAACCCGCUUUGUCAGCCACACACCACCACAACUAGCAGGAGAGGGCAUCCACCACCACCUCCUCCAGCUGCUGGCCAGGGCACAGGACCAGGCUGAGCAAGCAGGUGGUGAUGCAGAGGGUGGCCAGCUUGCCCGCCCCCUCCUGUUAGCUAGCCACAGCACAGCACACAGCCGCAGUCUGUUGCGGCCAGGCUACUGAGGCACAAGUCUGUGCACGCGUCCAGGACAUGAAGGUGACGAGAACAUGUCCUGCAGGAGAGAGCCGCAUUGUGGCAGGACCCCACAGUCUGUUUCUGUGCUGGGAGGAGGAGAGGAACAGCAGCAGCAGCAGCAGCAGCAGCAGCAGCAGUAGUAGUAGUAGUAGUAGUAGUAGUAGUAGUAGUAGUAGUAGUAGUAGUAGUAGUAGUAGUAGUAGUAGUAGUAGUAGUAGUAGCAGCAGCAGCAGCAGCAGCAGCAGCAUUGAGCAGUGGUGGUGGUGGUGGUGUCAGUGGUGCAGCUGUCCACUCCUCCACAGCUGCUGCCUUGCCUCAACAUGCUGUGUCUUCCCUCACCUGCAAUGAACAGCACUGAACAACACCUCUCCUAUGAUGAAUAACACUGAGUAUCACCUCUUCCCUGCAUCAACAACACUGAACAACACCUCUCCUGUGAUGAACAACAUUGAGUAACAUCUCACCCCUGCAUCAACAACACUCAACACCUGCUUCACUUCACACUCCUUCAUGCUAGCCUCCCUCCCUGCCCCCCCUUCUCUCUCUCUCUCUCUCUCUCUCUCUCUCUCUCUCUCUCUCUCUCUCUCUCUCUCUCUCUCUCUCUCUCUCUCUCUCUCCUCUUCUCAGCCCACAGCUCCAUAGUAUGUUCUCCACAGUAUGUUUUUGAACCCACAGUGACUCCCCACAGCCCCUCACCAAUAAGUGUCACACACACACACACACACACACACACACACACACACACACACACACACACACACACA